rnacentral:lncRNA from 1 species
AUAGGAUGAGUUUUUACAAAAUUAAGAGCAUUUAGCUUUAAGAUAAAUGGCAUUGACUAAUCCAACCAUUAAAAAAUUGUGCAAAUUAUCAGCCUGAUGCCCUCUUCCCCCCAGGAAUGACAUAGAUUGAAAAAUAGAUGGCAAUGGGUUUUCACGUUCUUUUAUUUUCAGUGUAAGCAAAUAGAUCCCCCCAAGUGUUUAGCUUCAAGUUGCAUUAACCCAAAGCAACAAAGAAUAGUUUUAAGGAGUAUUACUAGGAAUAUAUCCACUUCCUUUUAUAGCAGAAAAACAGGGUGUUUGAAAUAAAGGCCUCCUAAAUUGCUAAUAAAUGCCUCCCUGCCCCCCCAACAACCCAAGAAUGAGUUGAUGAUGAAAGAAUUAAAAAUUACCACUUGAACGGCUCUCCUGGUUGGAGCUGUCUUUUCCAAAGGGAUUGACCCUUCUGAGACUUGUGUCUGCGUGAGAGGUCCCACCCACCCUGUUACUAUUUUAAGGAGAUCUGUGAAAGGCUCCCUCUUUCGCUCCCCUCCCCCACCCCCAUUAUGUCACCACUGUGCGCUAGCGCUUGAAAUUAAUCAAGGGCCGCUUCUGGGAAAGAAAUUCCUCUUUGCGAGAAACGGAACUGGACGCUUCUCUGCCUUCCCGCGUCCCCUCGCCCUGCCGGGCCCUGCUCCCCAAAGCUCUCCAGACAAAGCCCCAGGACUCUGGGGGAAGCUGCUGGAAGCCGCAGACCUGUCUUUGCCAGACAGCUGCUGUUUGAACCCAGCUCUGACCGUAAAAUCAAAAGUGGGUCCGAGGGAAGCGGUAAACACUGUGCAAUGAGCCUUUUGAAGGCAGCUGAUGCCUCAUUUGGGGUGACAUGUUGUGGCUGAUGAGUGUGGAUGAUGCGGGGUUUUCGAUAAGUGCCUCAUCAGUAUCCUCAUCAUGCCCGUGUUGCUCCGCCGCGGCGUGUGCCCUGACUUGAUUGUAAUUGCCCGAAUCUGCUCCCGCUGCUCAGGCGCGCACAGUAAUAUGCAAUAAAACAGCAAGAAGUGAAUGUUAACCAUCUGAGUUCUGACACGGCGGCUCUGCAGUUCAAGAUCUCCAUUAAGGACCAAAAAAAAGAAAGCCUCUAAGAAAAGAAGGAAUAGAAAUAUUCGCACAGUCUGUUUCUGUGAUCAAAGAGAGAGUCUAGAAAUUAAGGUGCCGUUUAGCCUGCCUGGGUCCUCACAGGUAGAGACUAACAGGUGUGUCUGUGGGGCGUUUCUGGAAGAGAUUGGCAUUUGGAUUGCUUGACUGAGUAAAGAAGACGGUGGUCCCCAUUGCAGGAAGAUUAGCCCUGAGCUAAAUACUGCCAAUCCUCCUCUCUUUGCUGAGGAAG